CUACGGGUCGCAGCAGUGAGGAAUUUUGCGCAAUGGGCGAAAGCCUGACGCAGCAACGCCGCGUGAGUGAUGAAGGCCUUCGGGUCGUAAAGCUCUGUCAAGCGGGAAGAAUCCGCGUGCGACGAACAAUCGCGCGCGCUGACGGUACCGCUGAAGGAAGCACCGGCUAACUCCGUGCCAGCAGCCGCGGUAAUACGGAGGGGUGCGAGCGGUAUUCGGAAUUAUUGGGCGUAAAGGGCGCGCAGGCGGCCCUGCAAGUCGGAUGUGAAAGCCCGGGGCUCAACCCCGGAAGAGCAUUUGAUACUGUCGGGCUUGAGUAUGGGAGAGGGAAGUGGAAUUCCUGGUGUAGAGGUGAAAUUCGUAGAUAUCAGGAGGAACACCGGUGGCGAAGGCGACUUCCUGGACCAAUACUGACGCUGAGGCGCGAAGGCGUGGGGAGCAAACAGGAUUAGAUACCCUCGUAGUC
rnacentral:rRNA from 1 species